GAGCGGUAGAGAGAAGCUUGCUUCUCUUGAGAGCGGCGGACGGGUGAGUAAUGCCUAGGAAUCUGCCUGGUAGUGGGGGAUAACGUUCGGAAACGGACGCUAAUACCGCAUACGUCCUACGGGAGAAAGCAGGGGACCUUCGGGCCUUGCGCUAUCAGAUGAGCCUAGGUCGGAUUAGCUAGUUGGUGGGGUAAUGGCUCACCAAGGCGACGAUCCGUAACUGGUCUGAGGGGAUGAUCAGUCACACUGGAACUGAGACACGGUCCAGACUCCUACGGGAGGCAGCAGUGGGGAAUAUUGGACAAUGGGCGAAAGCCUGAUCCAGCCAUGCCGCGUGUGUGAAGAAGGUCUUCGGAUUGUAAAGCACUUUAAGUUGGGAGGAAGGGUUGUAGAUUAAUACUCUGCAAUUUUGACGUUACCGACAGAAUAAGCACCGGCUAACUCUGUG
rnacentral:rRNA from 1 species